CGGGGGGCUGCGGACCAUCCGUCAGGAGCCUGCAGCGAGACCCGCCGGGACCACUGAGACCUCCCCCGGGACGGUCCCCAGACCUGGAGCCAGGACUCUCUGCCUCCGCGCUGUGGGCAGAUCAUCUCCCAGGACCUCCGACGAGCGGCGCGGUGAACCAGAAGCCCCGAAGCCUCCAUGAUGUCCCGGAGUCGAUCGAGCGGGGGCGGCUCCUCCAGCCUCCCCCAGUCCUCCAGCCUCCCCCUCCCCACCAGCUCCGUCUCCCCCAAGAUAGACGCCGUCCGGCAGCAGCAGCAGCAGCAGUACACCCCCCUGCCUGCCCACCUGGCCGCUCAGCUCCAGCGCGCCCGGAGCCGCUCGUUCUACGGCUCGUCUCCGUCGUCGGCGUCGACCACGCCCUCGGCGGUGGACGUUCUCCAGAGAGCCGCUCUGAAGAACCAGCUCCUGCAGGAGAGCAGCAGCAGCAGCAGCAGCAGCAGCACAAGGGCCUCCCCGCUGCUGCCGGGAAGGCUGGUGGACGUGGUGGUGGAGGUGGUGGGGAUGGUGGUGGGGCCGGGCGGCCUCAGAGAGCCAUAGGGACCCGCUCGGCCUACAGCAGCCCCCAGGUACCCAAGAGGGAGGUACCGCGCACCAAGGACACCUUGGACCUCCGCGGGGGGUCCCUCCCCCAGAAGAGCCUGCGGGGAGAGGACCACCAGACCAGGAGGAACACCAACCAGAACUGGACCUUCGGGAAGUACCGGCUCCGGAGCGUGGACAACGCGGACAGCGCGGACCCGUCGGUGGCGGCCCGCGGCGUCCUG
ensembl:lncRNA